rnacentral:rRNA from 1 species
UGGGGAAUAUUGGACAAUGGACCGAGAGUCUGAUCCAGCAAUUCUGUGUGCACGAUGACGUUUUUCGGAAUGUAAAGUGCUUUCAGUUGGGAAGAAAAAAAUGACGGUACCAACAGAAGAAGUGACGGCUAAAUACGUGCCAGCAGCCGCGGUAAUACGUAUGUCACGAGCGUUAUCCGGAUUUAUUGGGCGUAAAGCGCGUCUAGGUGGUUAUGUAAGUCUGAUGUGAAAAUGCAGGGCUCAACUCUGUAUUGCGUUGGAAACUGUGUAACUAGAGUACUGGAGAGGUAAGCGGAACUACAAGUGUAGAGGUGAAAUUCGUAGAUAUUUGUAGGAAUGCCGAUGGGGAAGCCAGCUUACUGGACAGAUACUGACGCUGAAGCGCGAAAGCGUGGGUAGCAAACAGGAUUAGAUACCCUGGUAGUCCACGCCGUAAACGAUGAUUACUAGGUGUUGGGGGUCGAACCUCAGCGCCCAAGCAAACGCGAUAAGUAAUCCGCCUGGGGAGUACGUACGCAAGUAUG